CUCCAGAGUACCUGAGCCAACUCGCAAGAGAGGCAGGGUCCCAAGAGUGACCGGUAACUGGGUG
rnacentral:rRNA from 1 species